CCUACGGGAGGCAGCAGUGGGGAAUAUUGGGCAAUGGGCGCAAGCCUGACCCAGCAACGCCGCGUGAAGGAAGAAGGCUCUCGGGUUGUAAACUUCUUUUAUUAGGGACGAAGCAAGUGACGGUACCUGCUGAAUAAGCCACGGCUAACUACGUGCACGCAGCCGCGGUAAUACGUAGGCGGCAAGCGUUAUCCGGAUUUAAUGGGUGUAAAGGGCGUGUAGGCGGGAAAGCAAGUCAGAUGUGAAAACCAUGGGCUCAACCUGUGGCCUGCAUUCGAGACUGUUUUUCUUGAGUACUGGAGAGGCAGACGGAAUUCCUGGUGUAGCGGUGAAAUGCGUAGAUAUUAGGAGGAACACCAGUGGCGAAGGCGGUCUGCUGGACAGCAACUGACGCUGAGGCGCGAAAGCGUGGGGAGCAAACAGGAUUAGAUACCCUGGUAGUC
rnacentral:rRNA from 1 species